AACGGAUAUCUCGGCUCUCGCAUCGAUGAAGAACGUAGCGAAAUGCGAUACUUGGUGUGAAUUGCAGAAUCCCGUGAACCAUCGAGUCCUUGAACGCAAGUUGCGCCCAAAGCCAUUAGGCCGAGGGCACGUCUGCCUGGGCGUCACACA
rnacentral:rRNA from 1 species